rnacentral:rRNA from 1 species
AUUGAACGCUGGCGGCAGGCCUAACACAUGCAAGUCGAGCGAGCGGCGGACGGGUGAGUAAUGUCUGGGAAACUGCCUGAUGGAGGGGGAUAACUACUGGAAACGGUAGCUAAUACCGCAUACAAUAAGAUGUGCCCCGAUGGGAUUAGCUAGUAGGUGGGGUAACGGCUCAACCAGGCGACGAUCCCUAGCUGGUCUGAGAGGAUGAACAGCCAACCUGGAACUGAGACACGGUCCAGACUCCUACGGGAGGCAGCAGUGGGGAAUAUUGGACAAUGGGCGCAAGCCUGAUGCAGCCAUGCCGCGUGUGUGAAGAAGGCCUUCGGGUUGUAAAGCACUUUCAGCUGGGAGGCGUUACCCGCAGAAGAAGCACCGGCUAACUCCGUGCCAGCAGCCGCGGUAAUAC